CUUUUGGAUUGUUUAUAGGGAUAUUUUGUUGACCGUGGAGACAUUGCGAGUGUUUUAGAAUCAGUAAAGCAAAGCAACAAAAACCAACUGGGGUCAUAGAGAAAUGAUAAAUAAAAAUUAGAAAAUGGAAAAGAAAGAGAAAAAGCAAAUUGAAAUAAUUCACAUAACAAAGAUCUCACGAGGAGCAGUUGCAUCACCAAUCUCCAUGUUCACUCCCUCGAGAUUCUCACCUUCUCCUCAUAACAAAGAUAGAGAAGAAUGGAAUUUAUUUAGAACGUGGAACUAAACAAAAAAGAAAAAAAUUUAAAGAAAAUGACUAACCUCAGGGAAUGUUGGAUUCCCAGAGUCCACAGUGGAAGCUUAGCAACCCAAAGCAAAUCCCAAACUCUUGUCCUCUCUCUCUCUCUCUGUAUGAGUGACAGCAACAAACUUCUUGACCCACAUAGUGAUAUCGAUUAAAUCUUCUUAUUUUAUAAUAUGUUACAAUGGUUAACAGUUAAUACUGCACUUGCUUUUCACAUUUUAUAUAAUCAGGGAAUAUAAUAGGGGAAUUCCUCUACAAUCCUUUUCUCGAAACAAUUGCAUGAUUGAACGAAUUUUGCUUUUCUUAAUAAUCAUUUAUAUUAUCAAGAUUUGGUUAGGGUGAUCACAUAGCUUUUAUAUAUUCUUUUCUCAUACUUAGCUGAACCAGUGGCCGGAAUGCUACUUAUCUUUAGUCUUAUACUGCCAAACCUUUUUUUUCUUGGCUCUUGGGUUCUGACGCAAGGCGUGAGUGAGUGAGUGCAGUUGUUGGAGAGAAUGAGGUUGGUGUUAUGUGAAGCUUAAACAUGAGAAAACAACACAAAACCCAAAUCAAAAAUUUUUUUUUGGUUGAAUCUUUCAAAACUAUCAGAUCAUUUCUAACUCCUAUCUAACCUUUACUAGCCCGCUUCAUAUUUUAAUCAGUAGCUAUUCUUGGCAAUUGGGUAUUUGAUUUGCUCCUUGGAUUCAAUGGAGGCAUGGGAAAGGAAUGCCCUUUUUUGUGUGGUUUUGUCUUGCUUAUGGACAUCUGUAUGCGGAUUACUAUCUCCAAAAGGUGUCAACUAUGAAGUGGAGGCUUUGGUGAGCAUUAAGGAUUCACUGCAUGAUCCUCAUAAUGUUCUUAACUGGGAUGCAACUGCUGUGGAUCCAUGCAGCUGGACUAUGAUCACUUGUUCUCCUGAUGGUCUGGUUACUGGCCUAGGAGCUCCAAGCCAAAGUUUAUCUGGAACUCUUUCACCAAGCAUAGGAAACUUGACAAAUCUCCAGCUUGUGUGAGUAUAACAAUUGUUCAUGUAGGAAGCCAGGUUUUAUGUUAUAAUC
rnacentral:misc_RNA from 1 species